rnacentral:rRNA from 1 species
UGUUGGGUUAAGUCCCGCAACGAGCGCAACCCGCGUCCUUAGUUGCCAGCAUUCAGUUGGGCACUCUGGGGAGACUGCCGGUGACAAGCCGGAGGAAGGUGCGGAUGACGUCAAGUCAGCAUGCCCCUUACGCCCUGGGCGUCACACGUGCUACAAUGGCCAGUACAAAGGGUUGCCAGCCAGCGAUGGUGAGCUAAUCCCGUAAAGCUGGUCCCAGUUCAGAUUGCUCUCUGCAACUCGAGAGCAUGAAGGCGGAAUCGCUAGUAAUCGCAGGUCAGCCAUACUGCGGUGAAUACGUUCCCGGGCCUUGUACACACCGCCCGUCACACCGUGGGAGCCGGCUAUGCCCGAAGUCGUUACUCUAACCGCAAGGAGGGGGGCGCCGAAGGCAGGGCUGGUGACUGGGGUGAAGUCGUAACAAGGUAGCCGUACUGGAAGGUGCGGCUGGAUCACCUCCUUU